AUGAUUUCUUUGUCAUUUGUUUUGAUAAGUAUUCAAUAUUAUUUUCAUUUUCUUUGGCUUGAUUUUCAAAAUAUUAAACUUUUUUAAUACUACAUCUGGAACUUGUUUCAGCAUAUGGUGUGGGGUGAGCAUAUUUGACUUUUAAAUAAUUUACUGUGCUAUGACCCAGCUGCCUGAUUUCCCUUACAAGUGGCCAAAUGCCCAGUGAAAGAAGAAUGCUCUUAUAUUUUGUGUUCGUUGAGAUAGCAUCUGUUACUUUAUUAAGUAUGCCAGAAUUUCUUACUGAGGAAACUAUGCCUUAGGUGAAAGUUACAUUUAAAAAGUUGAGUUAAUUCUUUCAGAUCAGAGGGAUAUAACUUAUUAUCUUGGUAUUCUUUAUGGAACCCUACUUAUUAUAAGAAUAUACCUUAGCAAAAUAAUGUAGAUACUUCUGGCUUUUUCAAAAGUAUUUUAGCCUAUAAAUGUUAAUGUAUCUUUUUAAUCUUCUAGAUGGACUUGGGUAUCAAAUCUGAGUUUGAAUUAUAGCUCAAUAACUGAUUGUUAAGUAAUUUUAUGCAAAGCUUUCAAACUUCUGAGCCUCUGUUUUCUCUGUAGAAAAUGAGGGUAACACCUACCUUAUGGGACAAUGGUAAAGAUUAAGUGAGGAAACAUAUAUAAAAUGCCCAGGAGCUAAAGAAGAGACAGAUUCAUUGUUUUCUUUUUUAUAUGAUACAAACUUUGACCAUCUGAAUUGGUAGAAGAGAACAAGAGCUCCUGGUAAAACUCACAUAGCCAAUAUUUGACUUUGAAAUAUGUCUCAUUUAAAUUUUGAAUAUAGUUAUUUCUGAUCUUUAGGAAAUUAAAACAACAUAAUGAAAUUAUAUUACUAAUAUCCAAUUCUAGGUUCUUUUAAUUUUUUUCUGUAUUCAAUUAUAUUCUAAGAAAGUUAACUCAUUUUGAAACUUCCCAGGGCAAAAAUGAUAGUAAGUGUUUGGACUUCAAAGUGUUCGUCUACCCAGAGGAGGACUUAUGCUGAAUAACAGUAAGUAGAGAAAGGUAAGGAAUAAGAUGCUAUUAUGUUUUUGAAAGAUGCAAGCCAUCUGAAAUAAGAAGGAAAAUGCAAAUGAGGCAAGGAAAUUUGCAGAGCAAUUUAAUGCAUUGUCUUACAACACUGGUCACCAUUGCAUGAUGAGAUAUGCAGGUUGCUUAGCAGAUGUGUUCACUCAGCACAUAGAACUUAUCUGGAAGUUUAUUCUGAUAAGAAUAAAGCAUGCCUACGAGAAAGAAAAAAGAAGUUUGUCUCCUCAGCUCACUCCCAUCUCAAAUUACCUAUUUGUCAAACUCCAUGGAGAGUUUUUACCUUUGUAGCAUUGGGUUGCAUUAUCUGACCCUUUGGUGCCACUCAGGAAGAGAGAUCCCUUGUAUUAAAGAGUGUUAUUUCAACCAAGUCCAAAAAGGGAGAAGUGACCUGAUAUGAAUGGGGACCUGACCAAAAGAGAGAAAGAAAAAGGUGGUCAAGAGAAUCUGAGAAGGCACAUAAGGUUUGUUUCUUCAAACAUAAGAGAGUUAGAAAAUAGGGAGGUUGGGAGACUUGAAAACUAACAGUUGUUGAGUGAUAAAAAUGGUGCUGUAUUGGUCAGACCAGGGAUUGCUGUAUGCAAAACGAACACCAAAUUACAGUGAUCUAAAUCACUGAGAACUUUAUUUCUUGCUCAUGUUUCUGUUCAGUAUGGGUUGAGAGAAUCCAAGUUCCUUUCACCUAGUGGCUUUUCUAUCCCUAGGAUCCUUAGGAUCUCAGAUGCCUCCACUGGAAACUGCUCUGGUUGCUGGGUGAAGGAAGAGAACGAGAGCAUGGAAGUCUGCUUGGGGGAUUUGUCUGUGCCCUAUUUAUGAAAGCUCACAUGGCCCCACCUAUCUGUAAGGGAGACUAGGAAAUGUACUUGACUGGUAUGCCCAGAAGGAAAAAAGAGGAAGUUUUGUGAACACUUAGCAAUCUUUAUCGCAUAUCCUAACCAUGUUGUGUCAAGUUUUUAUUUCAUGUGAAUAUUCUGUACCGGGUGGAAUUUGACCUUGAAUUUAUUCAAAUAAUGCAGUCAUGGCCCAUUUUAACUGGAUGCUACUCUUUAGCCUUCCACAUCAAAUUUUGCCUAUUUUUAAAAGUGAAUGUUCGUACAAACAUCAUCUUACUUCUUAUUUUCUCAGGAAAGAGUAAUUAACCCAAAAAUCAAUGCCAUACUAGAUAACAAAGCAAAUCUUAGCCUUGGCUAGGGAGUUUAUAUGACAAACUUCUGAUGUCCUAUAAGCAUUAUUGAGUCGGCCCUCUAGACUCAUGGAAGCUGGGCUUUUCAGACGAGACUACUACUUUUCCUUAGUUGGACUCAUAACCUUUGCAAGGCAAUACAACAAAUUUUAUAUAAGCUGUGCCUUAGUCUAAGACUUUUCAGUCAACGCACUCUUUAUUUUAUCCCCAACUUUUCUGCCAAUAAAAAGGCAACUUACUGGCUUUCACCAAAGGAAUUAUCUUUCUUAUCCCAUCAUCAGUGUCUGUAAAGGAUAGCUGGAAAAAAGUGCUGAUUUGAUUAAUAAUGUUCUCCUUAAUAGUCACUCUAAUUUCUCCAUUAACAGAAUCCUGAUAUGACACUGCCUACAAAACAAUUGCCAAGUCUGGGAUUGAGUGAUUAAUUGAAACAGUCACAAGUAAAGUUGUUUUUGCCAUAAAAACGUAUGAAAAUUACAAAUAUAUUUACUGUGAGAAUACUUUACACAGGCUCGAUUAAAAAAUAUUUAGUAUUAUAAUAGUCCUGGAGCAUGAGUCAAGCAAACAGUCAUCAGGUUUUCUUUUUGAAUCAGAAUGAAGAUCAUGACUUCAAGGUGGGUUGUUUAUAACAUGGAUGAAAUGAGAAAGAGGAAGCCAUAGCUGUCACCUCAGAGAGAAUCAGCAAGAUGCCUCUCUGAUUCUCUGUAGCACCAUAGUGCUUGGCACUAGUUCUCAAAAAAAAACUUCAUGAUAUUUGCCAAAUGUGCUGAUGUGUCUCAUAUUAAAAUCUGUUCUAUUGUAGGUAUAUAUUCAGGAGUUCAGUGCAAAUGCAUUGAUUUCCAAAAGCCUUGGAUUUAUCCUGCUUAUAUUUUUUAUCAAUUGGAAAAAUUACUCAAAUAAUUGGAUCUUAAUUUCUUCAUCUGUAAAAUGGGAAUAUCAUUGCAUACUUCAUAAGGAUAUUACAGAAAAUCAGAUAACAUACAUGAAAGUGACCAGCACAGUCAUCAGUGACACUUGUCGAAUUGUCAUCUCGGGCACAACAUUAACUUAGGGACCAGGUCACAUGAGGAAAAGCCAGCUGGAAAGCAAAUCAUCCAAACCUACUGAAAUGUACGCGAGCCUCUCCCUGUUGUGGCCCCUCCCGCUGCGGAGCACAGGCUCUGGACGCGCAGGCCCAGCGGCCAUGGGUCAUGGGCCCAGCCGCUCCGCGGCAUGUGAGAUCUUCCCGGACCCGGGCACGAACCCGUGGCCCCUGCAUUGGCAGGCGUACUCUCAACCACUGCGCCACCAGGGAAGCCCCUGCGUGCUGUUUUAAGUGGCUGUUUAAACACUACUGGAGA